rnacentral:rRNA from 1 species
GACGAACGCUGGCGGCGUGCUUAACACAUGCUAGUCGAACGGAAAGGCCCUGCUUUUGUGGGGUGCUCGAGUGGCGAACGGGUGAGUAACACGUGAGUAACCUGCCCUUGACUUUGGGAUAACUUCAGGAAACUGGGGCUAAUACCGGAUAGGAGCUCCUGCUGCAUGGUGGGGGUUGGAAAGUUUCGGCGGUUGGGGAUGGACUCGCGGCUUAUCAGCUUGUUGGUGGGGUAGUGGCUUACCAAGGCUUUGACGGGUAGCCGGCCUGAGAGGGUGACCGGCCACAUUGGGACUGAGAUACGGCCCAGACUCCUACGGGAGGCAGCAGUGGGGAAUAUUGCACAAUGGGCGGAAGCCUGAUGCAGCAACGCCGCGUGCGGGAUGACGGCCUUCGGGUUGUAAACCGCUUUCGCCUGUGACGAAGCGUGAGUGACGGUAAUGGGUAAAGAAGCACCGGCUAACUACGUGCCAGCAGCCGCGGUGAUACGUAGGGUGCGAGCGUUGUCCGGAUUUAUUGGGCGUAAAGGGCUCGUAGGUGGUUGAUCGCGUCGGAAGUGUAAUCUUGGGGCUUAACCCUGAGCGUGCUUUCGAUACGGGUUGACUUGAGGAAGGUAGGGGAGAAUGGAAUUCCUGGUGGAGCGGUGGAAUGCGCAGAUAUCAGGAGGAACACCAGUGGCGAAGGCGGUUCUCUGGGCCUUUCCUGACGCUGAGGAGCGAAAGCGUGGGGAGCGAACAGGCUUAGAUACCCUGGUAGUCCACGCUGUAAACGGUGGGUACUAGGUGUGGGGUCCAUUCCACGGGUUCCGUGCCGUAGCUAACGCUUUAAGUACCCCGCCUGGGGAGCACGGCCGCAAGGCUAAAACUCAAAGGAAUUGACGGGGCCCCGCACAAGCGGCGGAGCAUGCGGAUUAAUUCGAUGCAACGCGUAGAACCUUACCUGGGUUUGACAUGGAUCGGGAGUGCUCAGAGAUGGGUGUGCCUCUUUUGGGGUCGGUUCACAGGUGGUGCAUGCCUGUCGUCAGCUCGUGUCGUGAGAUGUUGGGUUAAGUCCCGCAACGAGCGCAACCCUUGUUCACUGUUGCCAGCACGUUAUGGUGGGGACUCAGUGGAGACCGCCGGGGUCAACUCGGAGGAAGGUGGGGAUGACGUCAAGUCCUCAUGCCCCUUAUGUCCAGGGCUUCACGCAUGCUACAAUGGCUGGUACAGAGAGUGGCGAGCCUGUGAGGGUGAGCGAAUCUCGGAAAGCCGGUCUCAGUUCGGAUUGGGGUCUGCAACUCGACCUCAUGAAGUCGGAGUCGCUAGUAAUCGCAGAUCAGCAACGCUGCGGUGAAUAAAUUCCCGGGGCU